UACGAAGGGGCUAGCGUUGCUCGGAAUCACCGGGCGUAAAGGGUGCGUAGGCGGGUCUUUAAGUCAGGGGUGAAAUCCUGGAGCUCAACUCCAGAACUGCCUUUGAUACUGAAGAUCUUGAGUUCGGGAGAGGUGAGUGGAACUGCGAGUGUAGAGGUGAAAUUCGUAGAUAUUCGCAAGAACACCAGUGGCGAAGGCGGCUCACUGGCCCGAUACUGACGCUGAGGCACGAAAGCGUGGGAGCAACAGG
rnacentral:rRNA from 1 species